AACGAACGCUGGCGGCAGGCUUAACACAUGCAAGUCGAACGAGAUCUUCGGAUCUAGUGGCAGACGGGUGAGGAACACGUGGGAACAUCCCUUUCAGUUCGGAAUAACGUUGGGAAACUAACGCUAAUACCGGAUACGUCCUUCGGGAGAAAGAUUUAUCACUGAAAGAUUGGCCAGAGUCUGAUUAGCUAGUUGGUGAGGUAAUGGCUCACCAAGGCUACGAUCAGUAGCUGAUAUGAGAGGAUGAUCAGCCACAUUGGGACUGAGACACGGCCCAAACUCCUACGGGAGGCAGCAGUGGGGAAUAUUGGACAAUGGGCGCAAGCCUGAUCCAGCCAUGCCGCGUGAGUGAUGAAGGCCUUCGGGUUGUAAAGCUCUUUUAUCCGGGAAGAUAAUGACUGUACCGGAAGAAUAAGCCCCGGCAAACUUCGUGCCAGCCGCCGCCGUAA
rnacentral:rRNA from 1 species